rnacentral:rRNA from 1 species
UACAGAGGGGGCGAGCGUUGUUCGGAAUUACUGGGCGUAAAGGGCGCGUAGGCGGCCUUCUAAGUCGAACGUGAAAUCCCCGGGCUCAACCCGGGAACUGCGUCCGAUACUGGAAGGCUUGAAUCCGGGAGAGGGAUGCGGAAUUCCAGGUGUAGCGGUGAAAUGCGUAGAUAUCAGGAGGAACACCCAUAGCGAAGGCAGCUUGCUGGGACGUUACUGACGCUAAGGCGCGAAAGCGUGGGGAGCGAACAGG